rnacentral:rRNA from 1 species
GACGUAGGGCGCGAGCGUUGUCCGGAUUUAUUGGGCGUAAAGAGCUCGUAGGCGGCUUGUCGCGUCGACCGUGAAAACUUGGGGCUCAACCCCAAGCCUGCGGUCGAUACGGGCAGGCUCGAGUGCGGUAGGGGAGAUUGGAAUUCCUGGUGUAGCGGUGGAAUGCGCAGAUAUCAGGAGGAACACCGAUGGCGAAGGCAGGUCUCUGGGCAUUAACUGACGCUGAGGAGCGAAAGCAUGGGGAGCGAACAGG